UCUCAAUCAUCUUUCCAAAGCAUCUUGCAAAAGAAUCAUUCUUAUCUCUGCUUUGUAGAUGAAGAAACUUGAAGCUGAAAGUUUGUCCAUGGUCUUCUUGGGGAUGCAAACUCAGGUCUACCUUCAGGUGGGUGUUCUUUCUCUCCAUUCUGCUGUUUGGGAUGACUGAAAAUACUAUUCCUACAGCUGCUAAGCAGUGAGCGCAGGCAAGGCACUGGCUUUCUGUGGACCAUAGUCCCUUCAUUUUCAGGUGGAGGUGGUCAUAUCUACCUUCUCUUUUCAUAGAAUUGUUGGAUAUUGCAAAGCAACUGGAAAGCUCUCUUUAGAAGACAACAAAUGUAGAAAGGCUGGUUUCAAGGUCCAACUCCGCUUUGCACAUACUCUCUGCCCAAAUCUGGGAGGUAAUUCUGUGUGGAGGCUGAGAGGACUGGUCUAGGCAAAGGAGGAUGGUGGCCUUCAUCAGAGGGGCAGCUGUGGAACUGAACACAUCUGACAUGCCUUCAGACACCAGGAUGAACAGUACAUUGACCCAUGCAUUCAGCAGCUAAAAUGUGCCAGGGCUGUGAAUUCCUGCAUUUAUCUACUUUUGUUUUCCUGUGUAGACACAAGGCUGCCUGGCCUCCCAGAGAAGGAAUUGCAAGAUUAAUGUUGACAUCAUUGAAGAAAACAUCACAAUUCUGAGACUGAAGUCCAAUAUGAGUUCAUCCUGUGAUGUGGCUGCCAAUGAAAACAACAACAAUGAUGAUAUUGUUUAUUGUUGACAGAGGUGAUUCCGUUGUUCUCCUGGGAUAUCAGCACCCUGGGGGUAAAUUCCUGCAUGUCUAUAGCCUUUGGUCUCAUCUGUAAGGUAGGGGAGCUGGACUUUCUGGGAUGAUCUUUAAGGCCUUCUGGUUCUGAGAGUCAAAAUUGUUGUUUUGAGCUGUUUGGAGUCAACCACAAGUUCUGCCCUCAGCUCUGGGUUCUGCAUUGUGAGUGGGACCAAUUGGCAGCGAUCCAUUGAAGUGGAAGUAGAUGACCAGGUUGGGGAGGGCUCUGAAGCCUUGGCAGAGGAAACUGGGGUGUUGCUUUGGAGGAAGGAUGGGGCUGGGGGUAUAAGAGCCCUGCCUUGAAAGGUCUGUCCUGGGAAGAGGAAGCAGACG
rnacentral:lncRNA from 1 species